AAGUCGUAACAAGGUUUCCGUAGGUGAACCUGCGGAAGGAUCAUUAACACGUAUCCAACGUUAAACCCCCCCUGCGAACUUUCAGAACCUAUUCUCGGGCCCCAGUGCGAUCCAGCAAUCCCGGUAAAUCAUAGUCGAACAGAUUUGAUUCGGGACUUCUGACAAAUGCAUCCCGAUAGAGUAGUAUAGCGUGGCAUGGCUUCCCCAAGCAGUCAGUGAGUGAAAGUGUCAUUGACUGUGUAAGGAAGGCGCUUAACGAUUGCUAGAGGUUACUCACGACCGGCAACCAUGUCACAGGGGCCUUUGAGCUCCCCUUACAACCCCACUAACUACACUUAGGGCUGCGUUAGAUCCGCGCCCAAAAAAAACGAACAACUGUUAACAAUGGAUAUCUUGGUUCUC
rnacentral:misc_RNA from 1 species